GGCCCAUUGUAGAAAUGCCUAUUCUUGUCCGCAAAACGGACAAGAAUAGGACAGGACAUGUUCUAUUUUUUUUGCGGGGCUACGGAACGGACAUACUGAUGCGAACAGCACACGGGGUGCUGUCCGCAAUUUUUCGGACCCACUGAAAUGAGCGUGUCCGCAUCCUAUCCGCAAAAAUAAAAAAACGGAACGG